GCUACGGACGGCAAGAUCACGUGAUCCCUUCACCACGCAUUGGACUUCGACGUUGGGCCAAUUGGGUGGCGUCUUACAGCUUGGUGAUCCCGACGUGAUGACGUAUACCACAGGUGACGUAAUUCUGGUGACGUAGUACACCCGAAAAAGUGACGUGGUACUUCAGGAAGCUUUCCAGCGCGACAAUUCAACCAUAGAGGAUUCCAUUCAUCGCAAAAUAGGAGGUUUAAACGUCUACUUUUCUAUCUUCAGCUGUGAUGAGAAGAAACUGCUGUACCUCAGCUUUGAACAUUUCAGCAUCUUCAUAAUUCAUAACCGUCACAAUGGUUCUCACUCUAGCACAGAAGAGUCUCGUCUGGAUCUUUCUGUUUCGUCUCUGUAGUACACAGAAUGAAGAUGUGGACACACAAACCCUUGCACGUAUUGUGCAAACCUUGGAGAACCAGUUGGGACAAUUCGGCCAAUAUGCCGUAGCAUUCAGAGUUGAGAGGGAGAACUGUCUCACAAACUCCAGCUAUUCAGGUGAAGAUUUGAUAACGGAUGGAGUGAAAAACACAAUUCGGAAUAAUGAAGUGUAUGUGAGCAAUAACCUCAUAGCUGCGAAAGCUCUGAAAGGUAUAAACACAAAGCAUUCAGAGUUUCGCCUGAAGAAUUAUCUGAAAAAGGUCUUAAAUAUGAGCGAUAAAUGUGUGAUUUAUUUCACUGUAAGUUCACCCUGUUUGACAAGAUGUCUAGCCGAAAAUGGCAGAUAUACCAUUAGAGGUAGUCUUACAAGUUUACAAGCGUAUCAGGGAAUUAAAGCCUUUGCUUUUAAAAAGAUCUGGGAACAUGAUUCAGAAGAAGAAUUGAUAAGACGACUGAGGGGAAUAGCACCUAAUUUGCCAUCUUAUCAGUUUAGAAGAAAUCCUGUAUGUAUUCGUCUGUAUAAUCUAAAGUCACAGACACAUGAAAAUGACAUGACUAUUUUAAACCUUUAAUUUCUGUGUUUGUUUAACGUGUAUGUAAUAUUCAUGCACUGUAACACUGCUUAUGCUUUGCUGACAACCUUGUUACAGUAAACUAACGUUACCUGCCUGAGCAAA